UGAGAUGUUGGGUUAAGUCCCGCAACGAGCGCAACCCUUAUCCUUAGUAGCCAGCACGUAAUGGUGGGCACUCUAGGGAGACUGCCAGGGAUAACCUGGAGGAAGGCGGGGAUGACGUCAAAUCAUCAUGCCCCUUAUGAUCUGGGCUACACACGUGCUACAAUGGUGACUACAAAGGGACGCAACCUCGCGAGAGCAAGCAAAUCCCAGAAAGGUCAUCCCAGUUCGGAUUGUAGUCUGCAACUCGACUACAUGAAGCUGGAAUCGCUAGUAAUCGCGAAUCAGAAUGU
rnacentral:rRNA from 1 species